GCUACAUCCUUAUGAUGAAUGUUUAAAUAUUCAAUUUUUAUUUAUCUUCCAGUUCAGUUAUACCUGACAGUGACUAUCUGGUAUAGUUUUUAAUUGUUUUAAUUUUCUAAUGUUUGAGGGGUCCUUAGUGCUCUCUGAGCUUGGUUGUUUUCUUGCAUACAUUUCAUUAUCCAAGCUAGGUAAUAUCUAGUGUUUAUAUAUUCCUAAUGUUUGUAUGAUUAUUUUACCUUUUGGUUUCCUGAUAGUGUUUGUGUUUUAACCAUGUAAACUGCCCAGAGUCACAUAUUGAUGGCUAUACAAAUUCAAUCAAUAAAUCAACUGCUUUCAAAAUUCAGAAUAUAAAUUAAGUCUCUACCCAUCUUAUGACUAUUUUUAAAGGGGUAAUCUAAUUAAUACAGUCAGAGAAGAAAACAACAUCUUCUUAAUCUAUAAUUAUCUAUACACUACUAAAACCCUUAAGUCUAUUUGUUUGUAAUCUUCAAAUGGUACAUCACAGGGCAGCCAUUUUUUAACCAAGGCACCUCAAUAAGGUAACUUACAGAAUUCCAAGAGCCAUUAUACCCAUGGGAAUGAAAUUUGGGGAAGGCUAUUUCAGUGUUGCUGUGCUGCCUCUAAUUCAGCACAGGUACACUGUUACAGUCAGAGUCAUGUGAUCAUCUUUUAUGUUCCCUGAUAGCUUCCCAGAAGUCAAUGGGGAAGCUGACAGAAAAUGUAGACUUGAUUGUGGAUUGGCAGUGCUCCCUGCCAGCUUCUCAAAAGAAAAAUCUUUGCUUAUGGGAAGCUGGUAGCAAAGGUUUCAAGUCUCCCCUACCCUGAAGUUCUCCAGCCUCUCUUGGGCACGCCGCACACCCUUCCUGACCAGCAUCACACUCCCAUGGACCCAACAUUCAAGGUCAGUAUCAACUGAGCUUGAAUUGUGAAAGAAACUGAUCGAAGUCGCAGAAUGACUGAAUCAAUAGCUUUAGCCUCUCAAUAUCACAAAGUUAUCAAGACCCAGAGUGGAAUGGAAAGCCACUAAGUCAAAGCUCAUACCGCUAACAUCCUACUACAGUCCAGAACUGGUGAUCCAGCAGUUCCAUCUUUCUGUGACUGAACUGAAGAGUCCAGCGACCACAAGGAAGACUGAGAAAAUGUACGAAUCCUCGUCAGCUGGUCGCUGGGUGUUCCUGGAGAUGAUGGUUGAUCAUCCUCCUCAGCUUUUUUCAAAAGAAAAGCAAAAUCUACUCCAGAUUUAAGAAAGUCCAAGAAGGUUUUUAUACUGCUUCAGUCAAUACGAAUAUAAGUGGUACAUUGCAAAGCACCAUAACAAUAUUUUAUUUAUUAGUGACAUUAGAAGAGAGAAGAUUUUAGAUUAUGUCUGUCUGAUUUUUAUUGACUUUAUUUGCAUUUUUAUUUUUAAUUCAUUUAAUUUUGAAUAAAAGAGAAAAUAAUACUGUAGUCAUGGAACAUAAACAGUCUAAAUUCAAGGUGCCUACAUCUCGCUGACACUGAAGAAAUUUCAGCAUUCAAUGUCUUACAUAUUUACAAAUUUCAGCUUUACAAUUUUUUAUUUGCAGCUGUAAAGUCAAAAUAAAGAGCACAUUUUUCCCAUG